CCCCGGGGUGACCCGCGGGAGCACCCCGUUCUCCGCUGCCUCCCGCGCCCGGCACGGCCGAUGGGAGCAGUUGGGAUGCUGAGGGCUCGAGGGACGGAGCACCGCUACCCAAAGGCGUCUUUAGGAACGUGGAUUUUUGCUGCGCUGGGGCUCCGUGUUUCCGAACAAGGAUCUUUCCCCUGCGCCUCCCUGCCCGUGCCGUGAGGCCCGCGGCAGCGUGGCACGGAGCGAGGGCCGUGGGAGUGCAGCUGUGUGGAAGUCUCCGGUUCUUCUCAGCCUAAUACUUCCCCACCCCUUGAAUUUAUUUUUUUUUAUUAUUAUUAUCUGGGUGAAUGAACUGCUGCCAUGGAGACAUCAAGCGUGGCUCAAAAUAGCUAACGAGGCAGAACUGAAAAGGGGAGUAUGGCCGGUACAAAAGGGGGAAGGGAAAAAGCAAUUUCAGCCGCUGACGUGGGAGAUGCAACCAGCAGAGAGGAAACCACAACGGGAGAGAUGAGGGGCUGCAGCCAUUAAGGCCUUCAAGGCAGACUGGGGCUUUGUGAGAUGGAGCACGUGUGGUCAGGAAACACAUUCUCCUCCUCCCCCUUUGUCAUCUAAUUCUUCGAAAAGUCCUCCAGUCAGUUAUAAAUGCGUGCAAAAUACGGAGGUUUGGGAUGUUGUUUUGUUUUUGUUUGCGAGGUUUUGCACUGGUUUUGAUUUUUUUACAGUGAAACAAAGGAAGCGGGUGGGACAAAGGCAUUAUUCGCAAUAUGUCUUGGAGAUCAAAAAAGCUCAUGCUGCAGGCAUGGCUUGUCUCCUUUUUAUUAGUGAGGAUCCUCCUCUGCACCCAUGACACUGCCUUGCCAGUGCAGCUGAGGGGCAGUAAGGACCGGGGUCUCCAGUUAAUAUCAUUUCUAAUAGGCAGCCAUGAGGAAAUGGGGCCUGAUUAUCCCAGCAAAUGUCUAAUGUUUUAUGAAGCCUUCACUGCUCUACAUAACCUUACAGUAUUCUACUGUUACUUUACAAACAGUGUCUUCAAAAAGGUUAAUGCAGAUUAUAAAUGCUGCCUAGACUGGAAGAACUACCCUACCUGACUGUUUUAACAUAAAACUAUAUCGGUAGUUGUGAUAGCCAUUUAUACCUCUCAAAUUAUUUACAUAAACUUCACUAGUAAGAGUAGUUCUUGAAAUGAUCCUUCAAUAAACUAAUCCUACAAUACAUUUAACUAAAUGCAGCAGAGGAUAUAUUUUACUGCAUGGAGAAAAAUAACUACUUGUGAUUAUAAACUUUAAAAAUGAGUCACAGCAGGGUAUAUUCAAGUUAUUGAUACACCAUUGUCCCACAGUCCAUCACCAACAGUUAGAAGAGGCUGCUACGAGGAACAUUUUUUUAUAAAACAUAAUUUUUAAUUAUCUGGUAUUAUUUUCUAUCACUUAGAGGAACAGCUUUCAUUUUCUCCUAGCAUUUCCCUUUCAAUUAAAAAUAUAAGAAUUUCUGAGUAGUAAUCCAGAUGGUUUAAUAAAAACAUUUUAUAAGUAUUUUCUUCUGGGUGUACUACCUUCCUUUAGUAGUGGUUUCUUCCUCUUCAGCUUGCCUUUUAAAAUUCCUUAAAUAUAUUUCUUCCAGCUAUUUAACAGGCUGGAUUCCUUUUCUCCUUGUGCUUUUUAAAGAUUCCUUCUCCCUUGCUUUCCUCAUUAACCUUUCUUUCCUUGUGUGUAGUUUUAUCUCUCCUAGACUAGGCACAGAUGAGGAUGAAGUUUUUACUGGGUGUAACAUGAACACGGCAUCCAUGUAGAUGCAGAGGAACAAUACAGCUCAGUGUUGGCAGAGUAUCUUCUAUGCAGAAGAUCUCAAUUGGUGAAGCUAAUUCAACAAGUAAAGGAAGACUCUUGUGCUUGUCUUGUUGACUUGGCAUACCUUCAGAGGAAUCACUAAGAUUUAAUUCUUAGAGCUGGUGAGUUCACUGCUGCCAGUCACAUUUCAACUUAUUUCUUAGAGGAGGCUGCCCAGAAAAGGUGUUGUAGUGAGUCUUCUAACAUCAUCACUGUGUGAACAUGGCUUUUUCAUUCCCUUGAAUUAAAUCUCUAGCCUAGAUGGGAAAAUAAUAGCAGAUGACUCCACAUACCAGUGACACCAGCAGCUGAGUAGAUUGCAUGCUGCUGUCAGGGACAGCUCCCCUUAGCACUAGGACUGAUGCUUUAAGAUUCCAAGUUGAUGGAAGAGGUGUGCAGAAAGCCAGUGUUUCAAGUUUUGUGCAGCUGCUUGACAGGUGUUACUAUGAGGUAAGAAAUCUUAUUGUGUUCUGAAUUAAGGUAAUUCUAAAAUCUAAAAAAAUUGCUCUGUCUGGGGAGAAUUAAAAGUCUAACUGCUUCUUUUUGUUUGGUGUUGCACAAAUUCUCAACAUAGAAGCUGGGAAGCAGCAUAGAUUCCCUUUGCAUCUUACAGUCUGGCAAAGUUGUUUCUUAUGAAACGUUGGAAUGCUGUUUUAGCAAUAAAAAUAGCAGUACCAAGUCCUUAUGGUGUUUCCUUGUCUUCACUUAAAUGUUAUUACUCAUUCCAGAAAGUCAAAACACUGUUGUUAAAAUUCUUUCAGUAUCUUUUUAGUGUCACUGUUUGAUGGAGACUGUUCGCCACAACGCAAUAGAAUUAGUAAUCUCCUUCCAAAUUUUGGUAUAUUUUCCAAAAGACAGCUUUUAGCCUUUAUUUGGGGUUUCCAGGCUUCUUUCAAUUUUUGUUCCCCAUUCUUCCUGCUCUUACACUGCACGAAUUCAGUGUUUGUGUUCUAAGAUACUAAGAUGUAUGUAAAAUAGUGAGAACCUUCCUGCUAAGACUAACAGCAAGACCUCAGUCCCUGCCAAGUUUUUAUACAAUUCAACUAAGGGUAGCAGUACAGAGGACUGAAUUACAGAACUCUUACACGUCACUUCCAAGUUCAUUUUGUGUUUCAGCUGAAUCCAGUACACUGAAUCCAAUCAUAGGAGAGCAAUGACAAAUGCUGAACAGCACACCUCAUUAAUGUACCUAUGUGAGACACUGGAUACUGUCUAUAGGUGAUCCAUUCAGCUGCUGGAUCUCAUUGUUUGUUUUACUAAACCCAUUUCCUGGUGUUCUGAAGCAAGUUCUCUCCUCUCUACUUAAUAAAUAAAUAAUUGUUCUA